rnacentral:rRNA from 1 species
GUGGAUUAGAUACCCGGGUAGUCCACGCCCUAAACGAUGUCGACUGGUUGUUGGGGGUUUGACACUCUCAGUAACGAAGCUAACGCGUGAAGUCGACCGCCUGGGGAGUACGGCCGCAAGGUUAAAACUCAAAGGAAUUGACGGGGACCCGCACAAGCGGUGGAUUAUGUGGAUUAAUUCGAUGCAACGCGAAAAACCUUACCUACCCUUGACAUGUCCCGAAGCCCGGUGAGAGCCGGGUGUGCCCGAAAGGGAACGGGAACACAGGUGCUGCACGGCCGUCGUCAACU